rnacentral:rRNA from 1 species
GGGUUGUGAGGUUAAGCGACUAAGCGUACACGGUGGAUGCCGGCAGUCAGAGGCGAUGAAGGACGUGCUAAUCUGCGAUAAGCGUCGGUAAGGUGAUAUGAACCGUUAUAACCGGCGAUUUCCGAAUGGGGAAACCCAGUGUGAUUCGUCACACUAUCAUUAACUGAAUCCAUAGGUUAAUGAGGCGAACCGGGGGAACUGAAACAUCUAAGUACCCCGAGGAAAAGAAAUCAACCGAGAUUCCCCCAGUAGCGGCGAGCGAACGGGGAGCAGCCCAGAGCCUGAAUCAGUGUGUGUGUUAGUGGAAGCGUCUGGAAAGGCGCGCGAUACAGGGUGACAGCCCCGUACACAAAAAUGCACAUAUUGUGAGCUCGAUGAGUAGGGCGGGACACGUGGUAUCCUGUCUGAAUAUGGGGGGCCCAUCCUCCAAGGCUAAAUACUCCUGACUGACCGAUAGUGAACCAGUACCGUGAGGGAAAGGCGAAAAGAACCCCGGCGAGGGGAGUGAAAAAGAACCUGAAACCGUGUACGUACAAGCAGUGGGAGCACGCUUAGGCGUGUGACUGCGUACCUUUUGUAUAAUGGGUCAGCGACUUAUAUUCUGUAGCAAGGUUAACCGAAUAGGGGAGCCGAAGGGAAACCGAGUCUUAACUGGGCGUUAAGUUGCAGGGUAUAGACCCGAAACCCGGUGAUCUAGCCAUGGGCAGGUUGAAGGUUGGGUAACACUAACUGGAGGACCGAACCGACUAAUGUUGAAAAAUUAGCGGAUGACUUGUGGCUGGGGGUGAAAGGCCAAUCAAACCGGGAGAUAGCUGGUUCUCCCCGAAAGCUAUUUAGGUAGCGCCUCGUGAAUUCAUCUCCGGGGGUAGAGCACUGUUUCGGCAAGGGGGUCAUCCCGACUUACCAACCCGAUGCAAACUGCGAAUACCGGAGAAUGUUAUCACGGGAGACACACGGCGGGUGCUAACGUCCGUCGUGAAGAGGGAAACAACCCAGACCGCCAGCUAAGGUCCCAAAGUCAUGGUUAAGUGGGAAACGAUGUGGGAAGGCCCAGACAGCCGGGUUGGCUUAGAAGCAGCCAUCAUUUAAAGAAAGCGUAAUAGCUCACUGGUCGAGUCGGCCUGCGCGGAAGAUGUAACGGGGCUAAACCAUGCACCGAAGCUGCGGCAGCGACGCUUAUGCGUUGUUGGGUAGGGGAGCGUUCUGUAAGCCUGCGAAGGUGUGCUGUGAGGCAUGCUGGAGGUAUCAGAAGUGCGAAUGCUGACAUAAGUAACGAUAAAGCGGGUGAAAAGCCCGCUCGCCGGAAGACCAAGGGUUCCUGUCCAACGUUAAUCGGGGCAGGGUGAGUCGACCCCUAAGGCGAGGCCGAAAGGCGUAGUCGAUGGGAAACAGGUUAAUAUUCCUGUACUUGGUGUUACUGCGAAGGGGGGACGGAGAAGGCUAUGUUGGCCGGGCGACGGUUGUCCCGGUUUAAGCGUGUAGGCUGGUUUUCCAGGCAAAUCCGGAAAAUCAAGGCUGAGGCGUGAUGACGAGGCACUACGGUGCUGAAGCAACAAAUGCCCUGCUUCCAGGAAAAGCCUCUAAGCAUCAGGUAACAUCAAAUCGUACCCCAAACCGACACAGGUGGUCAGGUAGAGAAUACCAAGGCGCUUGAGAGAACUCGGGUGAAGGAACUAGGCAAAAUGGUGCCGUAACUUCGGGAGAAGGCACGCUGAUAUGUAGGUGAAGUCCCUUGCGGAUGGAGCUGAAAUCAGUCGAAGAUACCAGCUGGCUGCAACUGUUUAUUAAAAACACAGCACUGUGCAAACACGAAAGUGGACGUAUACGGUGUGACGCCUGCCCGGUGCCGGAAGGUUAAUUGAUGGGGUCAGCGCAAGCGAAGCUCUUGAUCGAAGCCCCGGUAAACGGCGGCCGUAACUAUAACGGUCCUAAGGUAGCGAAAUUCCUUGUCGGGUAAGUUCCGACCUGCACGAAUGGCGUAAUGAUGGCCAGGCUGUCUCCACCCGAGACUCAGUGAAAUUGAACUCGCUGUGAAGAUGCAGUGUACCCGCGGCAAGACGGAAAGACCCCGUGAACCUUUACUAUAGCUUGACACUGAACAUUGAGCCUUGAUGUGUAGGAUAGGUGGGAGGCUUUGAAGUGUGGACGCCAGUCUGCAUGGAGCCGGCCUUGAAAUACCACCCUUUAAUGUUUGAUGUUCUAACGUGGACCCGUGAUCCGGGUUGCGGACAGUGUCUGGUGGGUAGUUUGACUGGGGCGGUCUCCUCCUAAAGAGUAACGGAGGAGCACGAAGGUUGGCUAAUCCUGGUCGGACAUCAGGAGGUUAGUGCAAUGGCAUAAGCCAGCUUGACUGCGAGCGUGACGGCGCGAGCAGGUGCGAAAGCAGGUCAUAGUGAUCCGGUGGUUCUGAAUGGAAGGGCCAUCGCUCAACGGAUAAAAGGUACUCCGGGGAUAACAGGCUGAUACCGCCCAAGAGUUCAUAUCGACGGCGGUGUUUGGCACCUCGAUGUCGGCUCAUCACAUCCUGGGGCUGAAGUAGGUCCCAAGGGUAUGGCUGUUCGCCAUUUAAAGUGGUACGCGAGCUGGGUUUAGAACGUCGUGAGACAGUUCGGUCCCUAUCUGCCGUGGGCGCUGGAGAACUGAGGGGGGCUGCUCCUAGUACGAGAGGACCGGAGUGGACGCAUCACUGGUGUUCGGGUUGUCAUGCCAAUGGCACUGCCCGGUAGCUAAAUGCGGAAGAGAUAAGUGCUGAAAGCAUCUAAGCACGAAACUUGCCCCGAGAUGAGUUCUCCCUGACCCUUUAAGGGUCCUGAAGGAACGUUGAAGACGACGACGUUGAUAGGCCGGGUGUGUAAGCGCAGCGAUGCGUUGAGCUAACCGGUACUAAUGAACCGUGAGGCUUAACCUUACAACGCCGAAG